UAUCUGAACUAGUAAAAUACCUUCUAUGAGUUCAGAUAUGCCUGUGCUCUUUCACGACCUGUAAAUCUGAAAGAGACAACCCUUCAAGAUGAAUCCCGAGUGGAUUAUUAGAGCCCAGUGGCCAUUAUAAGGCCAAGUGACCGUUUGCUGACUAGGGGGUCACACAUGUACUCUGAGGUCCUUGAAAACCCACAACUUGUAAUCGUUGGAACUUUCAUAACUCUUCUGAACCAACCAAUCAGAGCUCAUCUACCUUAGCCCAUCGGAAAUCAGCUGUAUUGACCAAUCAGAACUCAGCUAUUUCAACCAAUCAGAAUUAAGCAAAUUUCCAUCCUUCAUUUGCACAAGCAGACUGAUUGGGAACAUGAAAGGAAAGGUUUGCUGUAAAACCUGCCUUCCCUUUGUACUCUAGAAGUCACCUUUGUUUUACACCAGAGCCUGCAUCUCCCUGGUUUGCAAACUGCUCACUGGAGUAAAGUCUUUCCUCCAAAUUCCUUUUAAGAGAACUUGUGUUCACAGAACCUAACCGCAUCUCCUGGAAACAUGCAGUUAGAAUUUGCUGGCUAGAAUAUAAUUGUGAAGGGUUUAAGUGCUGGUCUGUACUCAUCAAAAAUGCUUUAGAAAAGUCAUUCCUGUUCAGUCUAGAUUGAUUAUUAUAAAUAAAUUUGAAAUUUCUGGAUUUAUGAGGUACGAUUGUCAGAAGAAAGGAUAUAGUAUAUGGAGUUUAUAGUAAUAUGGCUGUCAAGUUACAAAAACAAAAAGACCCCAAACUAAGUGGCUUCCCUGUAUCAGACUCUACAGUAUGUGAUUUAUCUCCUCACUCAGAAAAACAGACUUUAGAAAGCUACAUCCAGUGAACUCAGGGUGUAUUGCUUCACUGUCUUUCCUUUCAUGAGUAAAUUUUGUUGUCUAGUAAGACUUUAGUUUUAUGUGAGUCUGACAAUGAAGUCCUUCGGGAUAGUAUAAAAAUUAUUUUUAUGUAAUCUAAAGGCAUCACUUAAGAAAGAAUACAAACACAUACACAACACAAACACACACAAAUGUACACACAUGUAAAUAUAUACGUGUGUGUAUCCCCAUAGAAUUUGAUCUCUAUGAGCAAGGAGCUUUCGUUUUUUAAUCUGCUAUAAUUUUAUGACAUGAAUAGUCAAUAAUAUGGCCUUUCAUUUUUCAUCAAUACUGUUUUCGAAAUGGAGAAAAGUAAUUAUCUUUUAUUGUUCAUUUUUAUGUAUUUCUUUUUAGUAUAUGUCAUCGUGUUCCUGAUUAUUCUAGCUUUGAGUCCAUUGUUAUGCACAUGGUUUCAUAAUAACAAGUUCUAGUCCAUAUUUAUCCCAGUAGUAGGCUUACACUUGCCCGUUACCUGCUACUAAAUGAUUGGUUAGCAUUACAGAUGCAAUGAUCAUCACAUAUUCACAUGAAAUAUGAAAAAGCUAUUUUGCAAAGGAGGGAGAAUAACAGUGACAUUGUCCAGCUGUGCUAGCACUUUCCUGUAUGUUAGUGUUUUAUUUUACUUUUAAUGUUCCCAAAUUAGACAUUGUCAUUUGAACAAACUAGCUCUUAAUAUUUGGUAAUAAUAAAGAAAAAGGAAUUUUUCAAAUUAUCUGGAAUAAAAUGUAAGUGAUUCUGUUUAGGUAUUUAAAUAUUUCUUUAUAUUAAAGAGUACAUGAUAGACUUAAAAAUUAUUUUCUUAUCCAUCAGCCUUCCUUAGUUGUUGUUUUUGAUAACUAAAAAUAGUAAAGCAGGUUUCAGUCAAAGUAUGUACAAUUUACUAUAAAGCAUUAAAAUUUCUUUUUGAGAGAAAUGAAAAUACAUUUGAUUAAAUUAGAUAUAGAGUACAAUAAUAAAAUAUAAAUGUGUACUGAUUAUUAUUAUGUGAACAGAGAAAUACUUUUAUGCAUAUUACUAAACUCUGGCUCCCUAGGUAAGAAAAAAUAGCUGAGUCAAUAAGAAUUAGGUUUUAAUAUUAUGACUGGGUCUUAGGCAGGAAUAAGCUCACGAUAGAAAGGUUCUUUUGGGAUAACAACUUUAGGAGCAAGGGAACUGUCAAGAAGUAUUGGUUUUUUGAAGGACAGGAGUGUGGUGGUGGUCCUAAGAGUAGGAGAGAACUGGGUUUGUUUUUAGAAAAGGUCUAUGUGUUGCAGAAAAUGAAUACAAUAGAAUUAAGCUUUUAUCGUUUUGAUGAUGUUUGGGUUGGAAUCAGUUUUAUUCCAAUUCCCCUUAACACCUGGCUUUUUUUUUUUCAUCUCAGAAAAUGCAUGAAUAUUCUCAGAAAAGUAAUAGCAGAAGAUAAGUCAUUAUUAACACAAUAAUUCAUCACUCUCUGCAUUCAGUCUCAAAGAGCACCAGAAUCAUAUCAGUAUCCUAUUUUGUAGCCAGGAGUAAAAGUAUAGAGAAAUGAAUAGCCCAUUGCACAUGCUUCUGUUUUAUCCAUGCUCUCUAAAUAAAUAUACAUAUUUUCUAGUUUGUUUGAAAUAUACAGGUGAACUUGAAAAAAGUCAGGUAAAAGUAGUUUCCCGUAUCUCAAGUUUAUUCAAAGCCAUCAUACCACAAUAUGAAUAUAGUUACAUGAAUGUUUUUAUACAUUAAUUACAGUGAUUUCAGUGGACUUAGGUUGUAAGAUAAUAAUAGAACUUGUGCAAUUGAUUCUUUGAGGUGAAGAGUUAUCCUGUAUCAUAUGUUUUCUAAUAUCUGGUUUUAAGUCAAAAUUAAAUUUUUUAUAUAACCUCUUGAAAGCAAGUUACUUCUGUGAAAAAUUAUAGAAGGAUAGCUCAAUAUCAGACACUGUAGAAACAUCUUGAGAUGAAGAGAACUUAAGAAAUACUAAUUAGACAAAAAUUAAAAUAAAAGAAAACUAAACCAAGAUUAUUUUAUGACUUAUAAUGAUCACCUAGUUGGUAAUAUGUUAAUUUUUAAAUGUUCAUGCCUUAUUUUUCUACACCCGGUAGUUUAGUGUCUUUAUGUGGGUGUUCCAUAAUCAGUUAUAGUAUCUAUUUAUUCAUUUUCUCCCACCCAUUUACAUGUGGUAUUCAUUUUUCCCAUUUUCUUCUUUUUCAAUUCAGAAGAUUUUAUUGUUGUUAUCUUUAUUAACCUAGAGAGGUAAGCCUUCUAGAGUUUAAUAAAGAUUCUUAUUGCUAGCCUUAACAGGGGUUAAAAGGGGAAAAGCGCUCAUUAGACUUUCUAAAACAUUUUACCUAAGACUGAAAAAGAGAAAGAAAGUUAUACAUAUGUAGCAAUUUUUUAUUUUAGGGAUGAAAAGAAAUGAAACUAGAUUCAUGUACAUUCAGAGAGAAAAAAAUAAUCUCCUGUACGUUCACUAUCAAGAAUACCACAGAGACUCAAUACCAAAUAGACAUCUAGCUAAUUGGGUUUUCCAGAAAUAAAUUAGACUAGAACAGAGAAAGAGUAUCAGUAAUUGUGGGUAUCAUUAGCAAAUGUGAAAUAUACAACACCAUUUUUAUAACCUCCUUUUUGUUUCUUUGUAAUUUGAGUUUUCAAAUAUAGCAUAGAUAGUUAUUUCAUAGCCUAUCUCUCUAAUAAAGCUCUUUUUUAUUGUCCUUAAUAUGUUCUAUAAUUAAAAUAUAUUGUUUGUUCUUUCUAUUGACUCUCACACAUCGUAAGCUUGUCUUAUACUUGAUUCAUAAUAAAUUAAAAAUGUGUAUUGAUUUUCUCUUAAUUUGUGAAAAUCUUGAAUAAAUAAAUAGAAAACAUUUCUAUCUGGUAAGGAUUUGUGACUUCUGGUAACCUAGCUAGUGGACAGGACCAACUUGACCAACUUAGGUUUACUCACAUUAUCCUGAGGUAUGUUAAUUUCCAUGCACUCAGUUCUAACGUAAUUAAAAAUUCUGGAUUCUCCAUGCCUAUAAUGGAAUACAUAUUGAUUUUCCAUAACAAAGAAUACUUGGGUUUGGAAACCAAGACCCAUGGAACCCAAGGAACCAAAAUGUGGGGUAUGAAAACUCAUUCACCAUCAAUGCCAUGACUUGUACUUCCUGUCCAUCUAACUGUGGACUCUAAAGGGUUAUUCAUUGUGGUCCCCCAUGAGGGUACUCCCUCAUCAGUGGACAGGCAAGUGGUCCACUCUGGCUGCCUCCUGGACACUUGGACUCCAAGGGCAUGAAGGAUGCAUGUGGAACCCAACUGGCUUACUUAGUCACUUCAGGUUCCUUCCUUACCAAUUAUAACUCAAUUAACAUUUGAAGAAUACCCAGGUUUGGGUCACUCUACCUGGAAAGUCACCAAGAGCUGAUGGCUGAGGUUAAGGAGUUAAAAAUAUGUAAUGGAGGAGGAAUGAGUUGAAUAUGGGUCACGACACUGAGGGAAACUGAAUUUUGUCCCAAAAGUCUCUCUCUUCUUUAUUUUACACUAUGAAGAGACCCACAGGAACUAUGAAGGGUGCGUUCUUUGAAAGUGGGUGAGGCAUCAGGUCUGUCAGGGGAAGGGAUGGAUGGGAGCAGCUGUAGAGAUCCAGCACUCAGAUCUCUUCAGAAGAAUCUAUAAGGAGCAGUGGGGUGCCCACUUUCUGCUGGGGUACUUUUGGGAUUCAGCCUUUAUGCCAAGGCCAUGACAGAGCAUGGUGAAGACAUUGGAGCUGGGCUGUGCUGCCUAUGGGACUCACUCUGACAGCAAUCUUUGCUUUGGGAUUUCUUGCUGGUCUGCCUGGGCCCCGGCUUUGUCAAAGCUGUCCUGAUCCUGAGUCUUCAUGUUCUGCUCUCACAUUCCUUUCCUUUCUCCUCUCACAGUCAUAGUGAGAGCACCUAGGCAUAAAGCCUUUCCCUGCCUGUGGCCACCCCCUUUUUUCUUCACCCUGAGGAACCUCUUACAUCUAAUUCCAAUUUGGGCUCGGCUUCUGCUUUGUGGAAGAUCUAAGCUGACCCAGUUAGGAACAAAGAUCAAGAGGCAGGAAAUUUUAGGAUAUGAAUAGGAGAUAAUUGAAUAAGGAACCAUGAAUUUUCCAGAAAGAAAAGAAGGUAAAUGCUAGGGUUUAGCUGUGUCUCCACCCAAGUCUCACACUGAAUUUUAAUAAUCUCUAUAUGUAAAGGAUGGAGCUAGGGGGAGACAAUUGAAUCAUGGGGGCAAUUUCUUCCAUACUGUUCUCAUGGUAGUGAAUAAGUCUAAUGAGAUGUGAUCGUUGUAUAAAUGGGAGUUCCCCUGUGCAAGCUCUCUUGCCUACCACCAUGUAAGACAUUACUUUGUUCUUGCCUUCCACCAUAAUUGUGAGGCCUCCCCAGCUGUGUGGAACUGUGAGUUCAUUAAACUUCUUUCCUUUACAAAUUACCCAGUCCUGGGUAUGUCUUUAUUAGCUGUGUGAGAAAAAACUAAUAGAAUAAAGAAAGGAGAGUAGUAAUGAAUAAAAAAUAUUUCAGGAGAGAAAGCAAUAGACUGGAAGUUGAAGUAAGCUCAAAGGACUUUAUAUGGUAGACAUGGAACAUGUAAAUGGAUAAAUAAUUUUAUAAAUGAAAAUUUUAUUUCAAUUUAAUAAUCCACACAGUCCAGAAGCCACACAAGUAACAAAAUACCCAGUGCCAUUAUACAUUUACUACUUUGUAGUGGUAAUUAAUAUGCUUUUUUGGUUAAGAAAAAGAUGCUGAUCAUAUGCACACUUUUAUCAAACUCCUUAGGGUCUAGAGGUAGAUGCCAACGUACAAGCGUAGGAUUUAAAAGUGCAGCAUACUAGAAUCCCAGAUGUACCUAGAGUUAAGCAGGAACCCCUCCAAAGGGGUGGCUGUGGGAAGCAAAGUGUAACUAUAUGUGCAGUCACUAAAUACGAGGCGUAGGUGAGAUUUGUGAAGAUGUUGGGUAGAUGACAUUUUGAAAUUUCAAAUGGAUUCUGGGGGUAAACCAUUAUUGGAGUUACUAUGUUAGUUUUCUGACAAGGUCACAAACACAUUGCAGUAAGAAAAAAAGUAGUAUACUUUAUGAACACAAAAACUUUGUAAGAUUUCUGUGUCCUACUCUUAGUUGUGUGACUGCUUUAUAUACAUGAUAUCUCUUAAGCACGCUUCUUUUCAACAAUUAUUGUUUGUUCCUGCUGAAGGGCAUUGAUGAAAAGUGCUAUUUAUGUACAAAGGAAAGAGCCAGCAUCCUGUGAAAUAUUUUUCAUGAACUACAAAAGGUAUACCAGAAAAAGUAGUUUAACCAUUUAAAACCAGAGUAGUUCUUUCUGCCACUGAGUUCUAAGAGAAAUGACUAUACUAGAUAAGUUCUAUGUAGAACAUGGGGAAAUCAUGUAACCGUAGUGUUGUUAAUCCAUCCUCAAAUUCUCUGUUCUGUAAAUGUUCAUCUACUCAAACACUCUAAGUAAAGUUAGGGCUCAUUGUACUUUUUUUUUUCCCUGAUAAUGCUUCAGUGCAUUUCCAAAGAUUUUUUUAAAUUAUAAAUUUGAAUUCUAACUGUAAUAAAAGAUUCAUUUCCACUAACUGAAAACAUCAUUGCAAAUUAUCCUGCUCUUGCUCUCUUCUUUUAUGUAUCAUAACGGAGUUUGCAUUUACUUAUGUUGUGUUUUCCAGUUCUAUUACAGAAUCACUUGAAACAAAAGUAAAGCAAACUAUAUGAAGUAACUGCUGGGUGCGGUGGCUCAAGCCUGUAAUCCCAGCACUUUGGGAGGCCGAGGCGGGUGGAUCACGAGGUCAAGAAAUCGAGACCAUCCUGGUCAACAUGGUGAAACCCCGUCUCUACUAAAAAUACAAAAAAUUAGCUGGGCAUGGUGGCGCGUGCCUGUAAUCCCAGCUACUCAGGAGGCUGAGGCAGGAGAAUUGCCUGAACCCAGGAGGCGGAGGUUGCCGGGAGCCGAGAUCGCGCCAUUGCACUCCAGCCCAGGAAAUGCUCCAGGCAAUCAAAUAAUAUAUGACCCUGAAGAACUCAAGAGCAAAGAAAUUGUGGCAUAUAUUGAUUGGAGAUAGUCAUGACUUAAUUUAAGAUCUUGAGUCUACAUAAACCACCUGUUACGCGGCUCAGCAUCACCGUGAGAAAUAGCGAUAAAAGAACACAGAGGAUCGGAGGAAAGCUGAAAGCUUAAGACUCUCUGCAAAUUGAAAUCUGGAUAAGAGGAAAAGAAGAUGGAAUGACCACUUAUUCUGGAGCAAGUCCAGGAGGUAAUAUGAAACAUACAAGAAUGGUCAUGUCGUGAUAGCCUGGAAGUUAAAAAACUAUAUUCGGAUGGAUGAGCAUCUCUCCGUAUUAAUCAGAUAAAAGUACUGACUCACACUAUCCUAAGCUGUAUCAAUAAAGCAAUGAAAGAAAUAUGUUAUAAUCUCUCUGUAAUUACC